UGGUCAGGUAGCUCAGCUGGAUAGAGCAACUGCCUUCUAAGCAGUCGGUCUCGGGUUCGAAUCCCGACCUGAUCACACU
rnacentral:tRNA from 1 species